AGUGUAGGUGGUAUCACAAGUCAGAAGUGAAAGCCCGGGGCUCAACCCCGGGACUGCUUUUGAAACUGUGGAACUGGAGUGCAGGAGAGGUAAGUGGAAUUCCUAGUGUAGCGGUGAAAUGCGUAGAUAUUAGGAGGAACACCAGUGGCGAAGGCGGCUUACUGGACUGUAACUGACACUGAGGCUCGAAAGCGUGGGGAGCAAACA
rnacentral:rRNA from 1 species